UUAAGCGACUAAGCGUACACGGUGGAUGCCCUGGCAGUCAGAGGCGAUGAAGGACGUGCUAAUCUGCGAAAAGCGUCGGUAAGGUGAUAUGAACCGUUAUAACCGGCGAUGUCCGAAUGGGGAAACCCAGUGUGAUUCGUCACACUAUCGUUAACUGAAUACAUAGGUUAACGAGGCGAACCGGGGGAACUGAAACAUCUAAGUACCCCGAGGAAAAGAAAUCAACCGAGAUUCCCCCAGUAGCGGCGAGCGAACGGGGAGCAGCCCAGAGUCUGAAUCAGCUUGUGUGUUAGUGGAACGGUCUGGAAAGUCCGACGGUACAGGGUGAUAGUCCCGUACACCAAAAUGCACAGGUUGUGAACUCGAAGAGUAGGGCGGGACACGUGGUAUCCUGUCUGAAUAUGGGGGGACCAUCCUCCAAGGCUAAAUACUCCUGACUGACCGAUAGUGAACCAGUACCGUGAGGGAAAGGCGAAAAGAACCCCGGCGAGGGGAGUGAAAAAGAACCUGAAACCGUGUACGUACAAGCAGUGGGAGCACCUUCGGGUGUGACUGCGUACCUUUUGUAUAAUGGGUCAGCGACUUAUAUUCUGUAGCAAGGUUAACCGUAUAGGGGAGCCGCAGGGAAACCGAGUCUUAACUGGGCGUUAAGUUGCAGGGUAUAGACCCGAAACCCGGUGAUCUAGCCAUGGGCAGGUUGAAGGUUGGGUAACACUAACUGGAGGACCGAACCGACUAAUGUUGAAAAAUUAGCGGAUGACUUGUGGCUGGGGGUGAAAGGCCAAUCAAACCGGGAGAUAGCUGGUUCUCCCCGAAAGCUAUUUAGGUAGCGCCUCGUGAACUCAUCUUCGGGGGUAGAGCACUGUUUCGGCUAGGGGGUCAUCCCGACUUACCAACCCGAUGCAAACUACGAAUACCGAAGAAUGUUAUCACGGGAGACACACGGCGGGUGCUAACGUCCGUCGUGAAGAGGGAAACAACCCAGACCGCCAGCUAAGGUCCCAAAGUCAUGGUUAAGUGGGAAACGAUGUGGGAAGGCACAGACAGCCAGGAUGUUGGCUUAGAAGCAGCCAUCAUUUAAAGAAAGCGUAAUAGCUCACUGGUCGAGUCGGCCUGCGCGGAAGAUGUAACGGGGCUAAACCAUGCACCGAAGCUGCGGCAGCGACACUAUGUGUUGUUGGGUAGGGGAGCGUUCUGUAAGCCUGCGAAGGUGACCUGUGAGGGUUGCUGGAGGUAUCAGAAGUGCGAAUGCUGACAUAAGUAACGAUAAAGCGGGUGAAAAGCCCGCUCGCCGGAAGACCAAGGGUUCCUGUCCAACGUUAAUCGGGGCAGGGUGAGUCGACCCCUAAGGCGAGGCCGAAAGGCGUAGUCGAUGGGAAACAGGUUAAUAUUCCUGUACUUGGUGUUACUGCGAAGGGGGGACGGAGAAGGCUAUGUUAGCCGGGCGACGGUUGUCCCGGUUUAAGCAUGUAGGCUGAUUAUCCAGGCAAAUCCGGAUAAUCAAGGCUGAGGUGUGAUGACGAGGCACUACGGUGCUGAAGUAACAAAUGCCCUGCUUCCAGGAAAAGCCUCUAAGCAUCAGGUAACAUUAAAUCGUACCCCAAACCGACACAGGUGGUCAGGUAGAGAAUACCAAGGCGCUUGAGAGAACUCGGGUGAAGGAACUAGGCAAAAUGGUGCCGUAACUUCGGGAGAAGGCACGCUGGUGUGUAGGUGAAGUCCCUGCGGAUGGAGCUGAGACCAGUCGAAGAUACCAGCUGGCUGCAACUGUUUAUUAAAAACACAGCACUGUGCAAACACGAAAGUGGACGUAUACGGUGUGACGCCUGCCCGGUGCCGGAAGGUUAAUUGAUGGGGUUAUCCGUAAGGAGAAGCUCUUGAUCGAAGCCCCGGUAAACGGCGGCCGUAACUAUAACGGUCCUAAGGUAGCGAAAUUCCUUGUCGGGUAAGUUCCGACCUGCACGAAUGGCGUAAUGAUGGCCAGGCUGUCUCCACCCGAGACUCAGUGAAAUUGAACUCGCUGUGAAGAUGCAGUGUACCCGCGGCAAGACGGAAAGACCCCGUGAACCUUUACUAUAGCUUGACACUGAACAUUGAGCCUUGAUGUGUAGGAUAGGUGGGAGGCUUUGAAGCGUGGACGCCAGUCUGCGUGGAGCCAACCUUGAAAUACCACCCUUUAAUGUUUGAUGUUCUAACGUUGGCCCCUGACCGGGGUUGCGGACAGUGUCUGGUGGGUAGUUUGACUGGGGCGGUCUCCUCCCAAAGCGUAACGGAGGAGCACGAAGGUUAGCUAAUCCUGGUCGGACAUCAGGAGGUUAGUGCAAUGGCAUAAGCUAGCUUGACUGCGAGCGUGACGGCGCGAGCAGGUGCGAAAGCAGGUCAUAGUGAUCCGGUGGUUCUGAAUGGAAGGGCCAUCGCUCAACGGAUAAAAGGUACUCCGGGGAUAACAGGCUGAUACCGCCCAAGAGUUCAUAUCGACGGCGGUGUUUGGCACCUCGAUGUCGGCUCAUCACAUCCUGGGGCUGAAGUAGGUCCCAAGGGUAUGGCUGUUCGCCAUUUAAAGUGGUACGCGAGCUGGGUUUAGAACGUCGUGAGACAGUUCGGUCCCUAUCUGCCGUGGACGCUGGAGAAUUGAGGGGGGCUGCUCCUAGUACGAGAGGACCGGAGUGGACGCAUCACUGGUGUUCGGGUUGUCAUGCCAAUGGCACUGCCCGGUAGCUAAAUGCGGAAGAGAUAAGUGCUGAAAGCAUCUAAGCACGAAACUUGCCCCGAGAUGAGUUCUCCCUGAGACUUUAAGUCUCCUGAAGGAACGUUAAAGACGAUGACGUUGAUAGGCCGGGUGUGUAAGCGCAGCGAUGCGUUGAGCUAACCGGUACUAAUGAACCGUGAGGCUUAACCUU
rnacentral:rRNA from 1 species